CAUGCUCUGAAGUCAGAGCACAAAAACCUUUUUGUAACAAAAUAUCAGUUUCUGCUGUCCCUGUAUCGAUACAUUAUUAGCAAACAAAAUAUCACGAUACUACACAGUAUCGAUUUUUUUCCCCCACCCCUACCAACUAUGAGGGAGAAAGACACUCCUCAGCCUCUCCAGGAAGGUCUAUACUAUUGUACUGGAAAAGAGAGUUUGUACAUUAGUGGAAACCCAAAUAUAGGAGGAAUACAGUUUUCAUUCUGGCUGCAGAAUGCUGGACCAGUGCAUUAUCCUUGAGAAUAUUCAAGUGCACAUGGGAGUUUGCCAGACCCGUCUACAUGUAGACAUUGAGAAGGACAUAACCUAGUUUCUACACACUUCCAGCAAAGAAUAAGGAAGCUGUAGCAUAUGGUUUAAAGCUGCAAAUAAUACACCAAGUAAUUUUUUUCCCUUAAAGUGGCAGUUUACAUUUCUCCCUCUGCUGACCUACUGUAUGCCAUACAUGCCAACCCUCCCGAUUUUUCCGGGAGAAUCCCAAAUUUCAGUGUCCCUCCCAAAAAUCUCCCGAUUUUCCACCCAGACAACAAAAUUGGGGAGAAGAAAAAAACAAAAAAAAAAAAAAACAAAAAAAAAACAUCCCAGAUUGGCCCAGCCAAUUCCAGUUUCCAGCAAUGGCUACUACUACUACUAAGUUUUAAUAUUACACUUGUUACUCUUUCUGGAUCACAAAAUAAACUUUUAACAUAUUUUCAGGCGAGUUCAGGCGAGCUGUGUAAACUUCAAAUAUCAGCGCCGGCGAGAACAGCAAACUCCCGGCACAUAAUUUUUAAAACCCCUGCGGUCUUUCGCUACUCAGGUUAAACAUGAUAUAUAAGUCACUUAGAUAAUGUAAAAAUGUUAUUGUUUGGCGUUUUUCAGUGUUUAAUUUGUUCAUGAGUAAAUUGGUUUGGCUGAGAUUAAAGUUAUUAGAUUAGAUUAAAUAAAACUUUAUUAAUCCCUCGGGAGGGUUUCCACACAGCUGAAUAAACUUCAAACAGAAAACUGAUUAAACAGAAGUGUGGGAUGGUCGAAAAUUUACGCCAGCAUCCGGUUAUAUAUUGUAGAUAGCAAGGAACAGACAGCAGAGUUUCACUCCAAUGAGAGAGCUAGUGACGUAAGGCUGAAGGCUUUCUGUCGGUAUGUUGUAGCGACAGAAAAGGCUAACUUGGUUAUCAUUUUGCAGGGGAAAAAAAGAAAGAAAAAAAAAAGACUGCUAAAAAUAAAAACAGAGGUUUUUGGACAAAGUUUGCAUUCUCCAUUGCCAAGCACCGGCACCGUUUCAAAAGUACCGGUUUGGCACAGGUAUCGGAUAAAACCUAAACGAUACCCAUCCAUAGGUAAAAAGAGGAACUGUCAGAAAAGGACAUAACAGGCAAUGAACCAAGGUUGAGUUUGGGUGUGGUAAAAAAAAAAAAAAAAAAAAAAAAAAAAAGAAGAACUGUCUAAGAAAAGUGGGGUAAGAGUAAGACACGGAGGAAGUGGGACUGUUAGGAGGUAAGAAUACAUAUAGAAAAAUAGUCUUGGAUUAUGAACAAAGGGCUGGGGUGCAGGGCAGAAGAACUGCCAACACCCACCCCCAGACAGGAAGCCACAGGUACAAGCCUGGAGGAGGGCAACCCCAGGAUGAACAAUAGAGAGAGCAGUGGAAGACUACGGAGGAGGGGUGCCAAAGGGC
ensembl:lncRNA